CGAACGGGUGAGUAACGCGUGAGGAACCUGCCUCAAAGAGGGGGACAACAGUUGGAAACGACUGCUAAUACCGCAUAAGCCCACGGCUCGGCAUCGAGCAGAGGGAAAAGGAGUGAUCCGCUUUGAGAUGGCCUCGCGUCCGAUUAGCUGGUUGGUGAGGUAACGGCCCACCAAGGCGACGAUCGGUAGCCGGACUGAGAGGUUGAACGGCCACAUUGGAACUGAGGCACGGUCCAA
rnacentral:rRNA from 1 species